CCUGUCACUCACUUUGGUUGGUUGCUUCCAGGCAGGUGUGAUUCAGUCACGGGUUCUAGCCGGGGCCUCUCAUACGGGAGCUUGGUGGCGCCAGGGUCAGUGUCAGGGAAGGCACUGUCCCGAGGGAAGCAGAGGUCAGAGGGACAUGGGGUCUUGAGCCAACGGACGGGAGUGACCUUUGGAAGCUGGAAGACGCUGAGAAAGAGAUUCUCCCCGAGGGCUUCCAGAAGUAAUGUGUGUGCAGGUGGCUCUCCCACCUGCUGUGACAGUGGGGGGUCCAGGUGUGGAGGCCAGGCUGGGUCUGAGCGGGCCACCCUGGGGACCAGAGCCGCCUCCCAGCACAGGACCUGACCCAGAGGCCCCUGUCCCUGCGCCGGGAGGGGGCAUGGGGCCCAGGCAGCCACCACGCCAAACCCAGGCACUGGCUGCUGCCUGCACAAAAGUCCUUUUCUGCCCAAGUCCUUGCCGGUGUGUUUUGUGGCCAAACCCAGGUCCCCAGAAGCUGGCCAGGUAGAUGCCGGCCGCCUGUGUUGCCUUGUGGCAUUGACGUCAGAAUCCUGUAAAGGCCGCGGCCCCCUAAGGAACAGGGCCCAGCUGCCAAGGAAAAGCAGACAGGGCAUCACCAAAGCAAAGCGUGGGUUCGAGUGGCUGGAGAUGCCCCCGUGCUGGUUGAACUGUGAGAGGCGAACAGGGCCGAGGUCGGCUGGAUGAUGUGGAACUGGAUGGUGUCCGCUCUGGCCACGGGGGCGGCCCUGGUCCUCUACGACGGCUCCCCCUUGGUGCCCACACCCAACGUGCUCUGGGACCUGGUAGACCGGCUCGGCACAGCGCUCCGGGGCCACCGUGGGCCUAAGGAUUGUGGUUACGGAACGAGCCCGCCCCGGGGCUCUGCAGCGCGCUCCUCGCUUUGCGUCUGAGCCUGUUCGCGGUGGGGAACCAGAAGGGGCCACUGACGUUUUUACGCGCUCGGCCAUGAAUAUUUCAGAUAGACCUUUGCCUGGCCUGGGUAAUAUUCAAAUCCUGACAUUUGGCUCAUGAUACUGGUAAAGGACGUUAUUUCCUAAUGAGACUGUUUCCCAAUGAAAGGUUAAUCAAAUUCCUGGGAACGUAGAUAGAUUUAAGAGCUUUACCCUUAAUACCUGUGAGCCAGGCUCUAGGUGGGGACUCAUUCUGGCGUGUG